UCCUUCCUCUAUGAAGUUUCUCCUGGGAUCCUAGAUCUUUGGACACAGGAACUUGUUGACUAAACUUCAAUCAAAUCAUUGUUAGUCAAUGCAAUCUGAGAAGUUGAUUUUGCAAAUAACAAUAUUGUUUGC